AAAGUUGGGGGCUCGAAGACGAUAAGAUACCAUCCUUGUCUCAACCAUACACGAUGCCAACCAGGGAUCAACGGAUAAUGCUUUUAGGACUCCACUGACAUUUUAUGAGAAAUCAUAGUCAUUGGGU
rnacentral:rRNA from 1 species